rnacentral:rRNA from 1 species
GAUGAACGCUGGCGGCGUGCCUAAUACAUGCAAGUCGAGCGAACGGACGAGAAGCUUGCUUCUCUGAGGUUAGCGGCGGACGGGUGAGUAACACGUGGAUAACCUACCUAUAAGACUGGGAUAACUUCGGGAAACCGGAGCUAAUACCGGAUAAUAUUUUGAACCGCAUGGUUCAAAAGUGAAAGACGGUCUUGCUGUCACUUAUAGAUGGAUCCGCGCUGCAUUAGCUAGUUGGUAAGGUAACGGAUUACCAAGGCAACGAUGCAUAGCCGACCUGAGAGGGUGAUCGGCCACCCUGGAACUGAGACACGGUCCACACUCCGACGGGAGGCAGCAGUAGGGAAUCUUCCGCAAUGGGCGAAAGCCUGACGGAGCAAAGCCGCGGGAGUGCUGAAGGUGUUAGGAUCGUAAAACUCUGUUAUUAGGGAAGAACAUAUGUGUAAGUAACUGUGCACAUCUUGACGGUACCUAAUCAGAAAGCCACGGCUAACUACGUG